rnacentral:rRNA from 1 species
GCNGCGGCNGGCCUACACAUGCNAGUCGAGGGGUAGAUGUCUUCGGGCAUUGAGACCGGCGCACGGGUGCGUAACGCGUAUGCAAUCUGCCUUGUACAGAGGGAUAGCCCAGANAAAUUUGGAUUAAUACCUCAUAGUAUUAUUGAAUGGCAUCAUUUGAUAAUUAAAGUUCCAACGGNACAAGAUGAGCAUGCGUCCUAUUAGCUAGUUGGNGUGGUAACGGCAUACCAAGGCUACGAUAGGUAGGGGUCCUGAGAGGGAGAUCCCCCACACUGGUACUGAGNANGGAACCANNACUNNNACGGGAGGCAGCAGUGAGGAAUAUUGGACAAUGGGCGCAAGCCUGAUCCAGCCAUGCCGCGUGCAGGAAGACGCAUCUAUGGUGUGUAAACUGCUUUUGUACGGGAAGAAACACUCCUUCGUGAAGGAGCUUGACGGUACCGUAAGAAUAAGGAUCGGCUAACUCCGUGCCAGCAGCCGCGGUAAUACGGAGGAUCCAAGCGUUAUCCGGAAUCAUUGGGUUUAAAGGGUCCGUAGGUGGUUUGAUAAGUCAGUGGUGAAAGCCCAUCGCUCAACGAUGGAACGGCCAUUGAUACUGUCAGACUUGAAUUACUAGGAAGUAACUAGAAUAUGUAGUGUAGCGGUGAAAUGCUUAGAUAUUACAUGGAAUACCAAUUGCGAAGGCAGGUUACUACUAGUGGAUUGACGCUGAUGGACGAAAGCGUGGGGAGCGAACAGGAUUAGAUACCCUGGUAGUCCACGCCGUAAACGAUGGAUACUAGCUGUUGGGAGUAAUCUCAGUGG